GCCUCUGUAGCUCAGUUGGUUAGAGCGCUGCACCGGAAUCGCAGGGCCGUAGGUUCAAUUCCUACCAGUGGAC
rnacentral:tRNA from 1 species